AAUGUACUUAAGAGUCACAGAGAAGCUAAAUCAACUGACUAUCAAGAUAAAUCAUUUUGUUCCUGAAAAUGUAAGCAUUAAUAGAAAAAUGUAAAAAGUAUCGUACUUUCUAAUAAAUUGGAAGUCUUUUCAAGUCGAUUCCUCGCGAUUUCGUUGUUUGUGGCUCGAAGUUCAAUACUCACGUUAUUCAAUAUGUUCCCUGUAUAUCUCUGAUUCUGUAACUUCGCUAAACAAGAACCUUUAAUUUUUAGUCAGCACUCGAUCGAGUGAGGUGAAAUGGGCUUAUAAGUCGUAAAUAGAAAGUAUGAAGUUGUUUUUUUACAUAAAAUUGUUCGUAGUUAAUUACAAGUUUAAUAAUGUCUCUACUACUUUUAGGUGAGAUGUAUAUAUAUGUAUAGUAUGAUUGCAAGAGUGUAUGUAUGUGUGUAUGUAUAUAUAUAUGUAUAUGCAUGUAAGUACAUGCUGUUUUCUAUGCUACGACUGAAAUGAUAGCAGUUUUAUAUCUUUUUAAUGCAACGUAAUUUCGCUGUUUAUUACCAACGACGCUUGAUCUCAAGAAAUAUCCGGAACAUGACGUAUAUAUUUUUAACAUAAGCCCCUGACACAUCAAAAAUAAGUUUUUUAUAUAUCAUCGGAAUUGUCCAAUUAUUUCUUUGAUUUUGUAACAUACAUAAGAUGAUAAAAUAAAUCACCUCUAUUUAUAAAUUACAAUUUUUACGAGCGAUAAUUUUCUUCUCGAUUAUCUGCAAUUAAAGUAGAAAUUUAAUCGAAAUAGCGUGAAAGUUUAUAAUUCAUAAAAGAAUGACUUGGAUAGCAGGUAACGAGGAGGUAAAACGACGUAGCUAAAUUAUUUGCUAAACCGAAGUUAUACAUAUUGUGUUUGGUGCGGUACAGAUAUGUCGACCUACUUUACACAUAGUUACAUAUAAUUGUCUUAUGGCUUAUUAUACACAUUAAAUUCCAUACUUACUAUUGAAUUGAUAGCUAGAUACAGAUUUCUUUUCGCACAUAUCGUAUCUUUCGAUUUAAUAAUAUCAAAAUAUCGUCGAUGUUUUGUUCACAUCAUAAGUAGUUUUCAUAUUUCAAAGUAAAUCUUAUCGAGCCAUUAUAUGAUCUCUCCCUAGUUAAAAGUUGCAUGUUUCUCAACGUGUAAGUACAAUAUUCAGUAAGUAACAUUCCUGCAUGUUAUACGGUACAAUUGACAAUGGUGGAACAUCGGGCAGCAAGUAUCAAACAUAGAAAUAUAUUUAGCAAUGUUAAUUUGAUGAGAUAUCCUCUCCAACCAAGCGACAUUUUGCUAAUCGCAUACUUGUCGUAGAUACAGACCUGACAAACGAACUUUAACUUUAACUUUAACUUUAUCGACUUUAACUGUUUACACAUCUGAUGUUAUGUGAUUCGAAAUAAUGAACCUUUAUAAUUUGACAAUAUGAAAAAUAACAUAGAAUGUUCAUAAACGGCUCGCCUCUUUGAUCUUUCACAUUUAGUAAAAAUAUAAGUGUCUAGAAUCUCAGAAAUGAAAUCUGUAAAUGGACUGGGUACGUGUAUGUAAAUUUAUAUUUUCAUGAAUACAGCUACAGAAAUAGAAUUUUUGUACAAAUAGGGAUUUGUGUUUCACUUUUGUAUGUAUUCUAUAUGUUUCUGCACAUUUAAAUUCUCCAUAUCAUAAUCAUAGUUUUAAUCAUAGCUAAUAUACUCGUAUUACGUAAGUAAGAAAUAUAUUAAUAAAUUUUCAUGUUUUAACGAAUAAAGAUACAUUAUUUAUGU